GGGGAUGUAGCUCAGUUGGAUAGAGCAAAUCACUUCUAAUGAUUAGGUCACAGGUUCGAAUCCUGUCAUCCUCACCA
rnacentral:tRNA from 1 species